AAAAGCUCCCGUCCCGUCCUCCUCGGUCUGUUUCUAAUCAAACGGUCGAGGAUUAUUCGGGUCGGUGUUUUUUGCAGAUGCUGUGCCGUGUGUCUUCUGCUGCAAGCGUAGCUAUAUUCCGGCCAAAGGAAUAAUAGAAAGAAAUUGAGUAGCUAAGAACUCUCGAGGAGGCAGACAACAAGUUGCCGAGGACGGUUUUAUCCGCUGGCAAAGGUGCUCUUUUGGGUUUGACUUGGAAAAUUGUUUUGCAUGCGGAUUUUCUUCGAGAUGGUGCUUCAUGUGCGCGGAUUUUCAUUUUGACCCGUCGCCAAAGGAAGUGAAGCCAACCAUGAUAAAUAGUGUAGAACGUGUAGUAAUAUAUAUAUGUACAUAGGGUACUUGACGAGUGUGAUGGAAAAUUCUAUAAGUCAGCAUUUCUUCGAUGGAUGGCGUAGAAAGUGAAACUGAAGAAAAGCGUUUUAUUCCGUUUGAACAAGAAAAAUGGAAAAUCACGUACGGUUCACCGUGGAAGCGUUGCUGGUUGGAAUGUAAAGGAAGUCAGAUUAAAAAAAAAUAGAAAGUGACGGUUGGUAUUAUCGUGAAGUGUGUGUUGAAUGAAAUUUCGAAAUUCGAAAGUUUCGUAAGUGCUGUACCAAAGUAGUAGUGUUUUAUGGCGAUACGUGUACCGGCUUGCAGGCCGCCGGGAUAUUAUUAAAGUGCAACCAAAAGCUGUAGGCUGCCUAGAGGUGAACCCAGUCUGAAAGAGCUGAAUAUCGGAUAACAACCCAUGCAUAAUCGAGAGAAAUCGCUUUAAUCUGCCCGAAUAGAUUGUGCUGCAUACGUGCCGUUGAUUGAAUUAUUCAUGAAUGGCAAUCGGUGGUGAGCUAAAUCUCAUUGAAAUCACAGCUAAAUGCUACCAAGUGUUCCAAAAAUAUGUUAACGGAAAAAGCUUUCAGCAUCUAGAACGCGUGUUACCUCCCGAUGAGCAAACUGCGAUGGGUUCAGUCACACGCUGGUUUUUAUCGUACAUCAUCGCCAACAGCAUCGAGUGACACGAGAAGCAAGUGAGAUUACCCUGUGUCGAAGUGUGUCAUCAAUCUUCGUAGUUGACUACGACGACGAAAGGUUAAAGUGAAAGUUUGCUCCUUGAAAAGUGUUUCAUCCGCAAUUUAAAGCAUGCCUUUGCAUCGUUGCCAGUGUCGUCGUCGACGUCGGCGGUGAGGAAUGCUCGAAAUUCGAUAGGACCUCACCAUCCAUCGGUAGAUCGUGUUGCACAUUCUGAACGGUAUACAGGGUUGUGUAGUGAACUCCGUUUGAAGGCGAAGAAAAUUGUACUGCUCCAAUAUCCAUCUAACCACACGCCCGUAGCAUUUGGGGUGAAGCAUGCUUAACGAAAAGGAAGAUGAUCAGGAAAUAUGCAAAGCGCCAUCACCGACACCGGAGGAAAGGAAACUCUCCAAGGAUGCCGACAUAGAUCCGGUUGGGUCGCAAAG